rnacentral:rRNA from 1 species
GACGAACGCUGGCGGCGUGCUUAACACAUGCAAGUCGAACGGAAAGGCCCUGCUUUUGUGCGGUGCUCGAGUGGCGAACGGGUGAGUAACACGUGAGUAACCUGCCCUUGACUUUGGGAUAACUUCAGGAAACUGGGGCUAAUACCGGAUAGGAGCUCCUGCUGCAUGGUGGGGGUUGGAAAUUUUCGGCGGUUGGGGAUGGACUCGCGGCUUAUCAGCUUGUUGGUGGGGUAGUGGCUUACCAAGGCUUUGACGGGUAGCCGGCCUGAGAGGGUGACCGGCCACAAGAGGACUGCGAGACGGCGCAGACGCGUACAGGAGGCAGCAGUGGGGAAUAUUGCACAAUCGGCGGAAGCCUGAUGCAGAAACGCCGCGUGCGGGAUGACGGCCUUCUGGUUGUAAACCGCUUUCGCCUGUGACGAAGCGUGAGUGACGGUAACGGGUAAAGAAGCACCGGCUAACUACGUG